UCCCACCCUCCCACCGAAGAUCGCAACCUCCCAGUGCCCAGCUCGAGGCUUGGGCCUGGGGAUGGGGAAGGUGGGGGGGGCACCAACGCGCAGCCCCCGCCGCCAUUUGUUUGCGGCCUGUUGAUUUUUGAGAUUUUUCCAACGUCAUGUCCAGCGUCAGCCUCUCGGCUGUUGGGCCUUUCUCUAGAACUGCAAGCCAAGAAGUCUCGGUGACCCCGAGGCCUCGGCAGGGAGGUCCCAGGCCUUCGCCUGGGGAGGACUCAGUGGAGGCUCGGGCUUUGUGGGUGCCUCCCCAAGAGGGGCGGCCUCCUACACCUCCCAGCCUCUGGCCACGACUCCAGAAGCUGCAACUGCCCCCCCCCCCCGCACCCCCGCCCCAGGAGGACCUAGGCUGCUGUUCCGGGACUGCUCCCAUUCAGCUGUACAGAAAGAAGAGUGAACAGUGCAAAGGAUCCCUGUAAACCCACCACCUCGCCUCAACAAUUACCAAUUCAAGUCAGUUGUCUCCUCCCUAGCCCUUCCAGUUUGCCACACCUCUCAUUAUUUUAAAGGUUAUUACUGGAGCUCAGUGCCUGCACAACUUCACUGUUCCCAGAAGUCUUUUUUGUUGUUGUUGUUUAAGAGGGCAAGAGACAGGGAAAGAGACAAUGAGGAGAGACACCUGCAGUACUACUCUACAGAUGGGAAUGAGGGAUUUGAACCUGGAUCUCUGCACAUGCUAAUAUGUACAUUUAGCCAAUGGAAUCAUCACCCAAUCCCUACUAAGUCCAGAAUAUUCUGCCUGGUUAGCCCAGGGCUUGUUCUGGGAGUGAGUGUCUGGGUUGCAAAAAGGCUCUUGAGCACCUGACAAGGCAGCAACACCUAGUGGGUACACCUAUAGCAUAAGGGGCAUUUUGAAAGUGACAACAGCUUAAAAACCACAUGACACCAUGAACAGAGUACAAAUCUGGGGAUGAGGCUGAUCUAAAUCACACUUACAGUUUUAACACUGGCUCUAUCCUGACUUUCUCUGAACCUCAACAUUUCUAAUCUUUAAAAUGGGGCCAGUGAUACCAACCUAAUGGGGCUAAUGUGAGGCACAAAUUCAGUAAUAAACAUGAAAAUGCCCAACAGAUGCCUGGCCCAUGCUGAUUCUGGGUAUACAAAGAUUCCUUUCUUCUUUCCAAAGUCUUAUUUCAUUGGGAUCAGCCCUCUUACUUAAGACCUGUCACUCCCACAGACUCAUACUCUACCAUCUUGCCAGCAGGUUCCUCUUCUCUUCUGGUCUCUCUUUGCCUUCCUACGUUGUGUCUCACUAACAUUCAGCUUGGACCUUCUGCUAGGAGACUAGUCCCCCCAACACCUUGGCGAGUUGUAUUCA